rnacentral:tRNA from 1 species
UAGAGUAUAAUGUAAUUUGGUUAACAUAGUUACUUUGGGAGUAGAAAAUUGUAGGUUCGAGUCCUACUACUCUAA